rnacentral:pre_miRNA from 1 species
CAAGGUUACCAGCAACACUUGCAUUACCAAAACAGCUUCUUCAACGUUUGAAGUUCUUUAAAGUACCAAUGCACUCUGGCAACUCUCUAAUGCUUGGACAGUCUCCGAUUAUAAAUCUUGUAAGGAGUUUGUAGAUCCUUGAAGAAGUUACUUUGGUAAUGCAAGUGUUGCUAACCUCA